rnacentral:lncRNA from 1 species
AUACGCUUUGCAAAUAUUUUCUCCCAAUAUGUGGUUUGACUUUUUAUUGUGCUUAAAGAGUCUUAAAGAGCAGAAGUUUUUAAUUUUAGUAAAGUCUAAUUUAUCCUUUUUUCUCUUUAAAAAAAAAAAAAGGAGGGGACUGGGGAUGUUGUUUAGUGAGUGUUCCUGGGUUAAAUCCCCAGUACUGGGUUGGGGGAAUCUUCUGAAAUUUUGCUUUAAGGGAUUAGAAAGUGUAAUAACUGGGAUAACUGGAUAAGGAUGUUCAAUAAAGGGAGAAUUAAAAAAAAAAAAAACUUUUUUAGUUGUAGAUGGACACGAUACCUUUAUUUCAUUUAUUUAUUUUUAUGUGAUGUUAAGGAUGGAAUCCAGUGCCUCACACAUGCUAGGCAAGCACUCUACCACUGAGCUACCACCCCAGCUGCAUUGUUUUAUAUGGGAGAUAUUUUUUUUAUUAUUAUUAAUUAUUAUUAUUUUGGUACCAGAGAUUGAACCCAGGGAUGCUUGAUCAUUGAUACAUAUUGCCAGUAUUUUUUAUUUUUUAUUUUGGGAAAGAGUCUUGCUAAGUUGCUUAAGUCCUCAUUAAAUUGCUGACGCUAGCCUUGAACUUGUGAUCCUCCUGCCUCAGUCUCUCAAACCAUUAGGAUUACAGUACUGGGUCAUCCUCAGCCCUUUUUAAUUUUUAUUUUUGAGACAGAGUCUCAUUAAGUUGCUGAGGCUGGCCUUAAUCUUGGGAGCUUCCUGAGUCUCUGGGCCCAUUUAAAUUAAAAUGAUAUUGGAGAGAUGACCAGGAAGUAAAGUAUGAAAAAUAUAAAAUAACUAAAUUUUUAACUAACAUAUUGGAAAGUAAACAGAUGAUGUCUAAAAUUGAUAAGCUGAGCACGGUGGCUCACUCUUGUAAUCCCAGGGACGCUGGGAGGCUGAGGCUGGAGGAUUGCAAGUUCCAGGCCAAUCUCAGAAAUUUAGCAAGGCACUAUGCAACUUAACAAGACCCUAUCUCAAAAUAAAAAACAAAAAGGAAAAGGACUGGGGAGGUAGUUCAGUGGUAAAGCACCCCUGGACUCAAUGCCAGGUACUAACAAAUAAGUAAAAUAAAAUUCAUAAAUCAAGAAAUAGCAGCAUAGGUAUUAUUGUUUAGAAAUAAAUAGGUAUACCAAAUGUGGUGGUGUGUGCCUCUAAUCUCAGUGACUCCAGAGGCUGAGACUGAAGGAUCACAAGUUUGAGGCCAGUCUCAGCAAUUUAGUGAGGCCCCAAGCAACUUAGUGAGACCCUGUUUCAAAAUAAAAAAAGAAAGGACUGAGGCUGGUUGCAGUGGCACAUGCCUGUAAUCCCAGCAGUUUGGAAGGCUGAGACAGGAGGAUUAUGAGUUCAAAACCAGCCUCAGCAAUGGCGAGGUGCUAAGCAACUUAGUGAGACCCUGUCUCUAAAUAAAACACA